UCGACCUCGGAUCAGGCAGGAUACCCG
rnacentral:rRNA from 1 species